rnacentral:rRNA from 1 species
GACGAACGCUGGCGGCGUGCCUAAUACAUGCAAGUAGAACGCUGAAGCGAGGAGCUUGCUCUUCUUGGAUGAGUUGCGAACGGGUGAGUAACGCGUAGGUAACCUGCCUUGUAGCGGGGGAUAACUAUUGGAAACGAUAGCUAAUACCGCAUAACAAUGGAUGACACAUGUCAUUUAUUUGAAAGGGGCAAUUGCUCCACUACAAGAUGGACCUGCGUUGUAUUAGCUAGUAGGUGAGGUAAUGGCUCACCUAGGCGACGAUACAUAGCCGACCUGAGAGGGUGAUCGGCCACACUGGGACUGAGACCCGGCCCAGACUCCUACGGGAGGCAGCAGUAGGGAAUCUUCGGCAAUGGGGGCAACCCUGACCGAGCAACGCCGCGUGAGUGAAGAAGGUUUUCGGAUCGUAAAGCUCUGUUGUAAGUCAAGAACGGGUGUGAGAGUGGAAAGUUCACACUGUGACGGUAGCUUACCAGAAAGGGACGGCUAACUACGUG